ACUGUGCCUGCUGUUUGUCCUCCGAUCCAGGGGGUGGAGCUGGAGAGCACCAGGCUGGUGAUCAGGUACCCAGACAGCUAGAUUCAGAGAACCCCUCCCUCUCCUCAGAGGACCAACCCUAUAGGCCUCAACACCUCCUCAGCCUCCAAGUACGCCUCCACAGGGACCAGGAGGAUGGCUCCCAUCAAUGGUGAAGAGUGUUUCUUCUGGAGGACCACCGGCUGUUUCUAUGGUGACAAGUGUCGCUUCAAACACAAGCCUGACCAGAGAGGGAGAGACAGGAAACCAUGGCAACCCUGACAACCCUGAACACCACGUACCGUCCGGAUAUGACAGAGUAAGGAAGAAGAGAAGGAAUAACAGAAUAAUGAAUAUGAAGAUUGAGGAAGAGAAGGAGGGACCGUGUAGCUACCUUAAUAGGGAACAGGAAGCUUGGAUAGAAUGGGGCUGUUGGGGGGUGUCACCGCUUUUGUAGUCCUCUGACACACAGUCAAGACAGCACACUGGACACACAGUAGGAGUAAGUGUCAAUCAAAGUGAAGAGGAGUGCUCCUCUGAUUUCCUUCCCCCGCCCCCUCGGCCUGAGCUGUGAAACAUGUUUGAUCAUUGAUGUUAGAUGAUGGAGAUGAUGUCAUCAUUAGAAUCUUGAGGGGGUUGUUGCCCAGGCCAACGCCUCUACAACAACCAUGUUGUAGACACUAAAGGGGGUCAGUGCAGGGUCUUUGAUGCAGCUGAUGAGGAGUGUACAUUAAAUGGGUUAGUAGAAUAGAAUGAAUAGAAUGACAUCAUGGAACUGACCAAAUGUAAAUGGAACUUUGACCUGUUCCAUGUAGAACUCAGAGGGACAAGGCAACACAUUCCAAUAUAUUAUAAACAUUCCAUAUAGAAUAGUCAACAUAUUGUUAACAUGGUUCUGUAUUUAAAUAAAAGUGGAAAUGGGGGACAUUGUGUCCAUUAUAGAAAUGUAGGAACCAUUUUAAUACAGUAACCUCCCUUCUCUGACAUGCUGUUCUGAUCCUCAUGCAUGUUAAUGUCUUAAAGAGGAAGGAAAUGACCAUUCUGCAUCAGCUACUUGUGUUCUACUUUAAAUAUGUAUCAACCACAGAACUGACACCUACUAGCAGUUCCCACUCACUACCAGUAAAUUGACUCACUGUACAAGACCUCUCCCCUUCACUUCACUCUACUGCAGGGUGGGAGAUGCAACAAUGGCCUUGAGAACAGCAGGAAGUGUGUUGGUGGUCUUUCUCUGGUCUGUAGCAGACCUGCAGGUGAAGGUGACCACUACAUGGUGGUCAACGACACUGACCUGUAGCACCACCUGUACUCUGACUGGUAACCCCACCUACAUCUGGUACAGGAACAGUAAGAUUGUACAAGAGUUCUCCUCCCCCUCAUACACAUUCUACUUUAAAACUGAAGACAGCUUCUACUGUGCUGUAAAAGGCAUCAUUUCUCCUGCAG